AGAAUGUUUGAACAAAAAAAUCACACAAUCAUAUCCAAAAGUAUUUUAGCAAUUAAAUGAAUAAUUUCAGAAAAUUUUAGUAAGAAAAUGUGUUCCUUGUAAUUUUUGGGUUCGUCCCUGUGUGGAGCGUGUUUCCCCAACGGCUCUGAAACUACUGCCAUGGAACUCGGAAGGAAUGGCUAUCCGUUAGCUGUAAAAAAAUAUGACUGUUGCUAUAUAACCGUUUUAAAAAGCAAUAGCCGUUACUGUAUAUUACCGUUGCUGUAUAUUCAUCUCUUAUAAAUGGCAGCGACUGUUCUUAUGGAUUAGCGAGAGCUUAUGUUCUUCCUCUUCCGUCAAUGUUUUCUUCGUCUUCGUCUUUAUCUCUUUUAGGAAGAGGGAAGGCAAAGAGCAGAGGCAGAGCAAAAGGAAGCGACAAGUGAAGAGGGAAGGCAAGCUGAUUCCAUAUCCAAUUUCCUUUCUUAGGAGUUCAGAGAGAGAAGAUACAAGCUGAAGGCUCUGCGCUUAGUCUCUGUUGCAUCUACAUUCAGGCUGAGCCAGUGUUGGAACACUAUGGAAGCUCCAAUAGGUAGCUACUAAAGUCAAUUAAUGAAUGUAUUUAACAAAAUUUUACAAAAAUGUUUCAAAUAUUGAAUGGGUUUCUAAAUGCAAUAUUUAAUAUCUAAAACUGGUAAAAAUGUUGCAUUUUUUUAUCAUUGUUAAAAAAUUGGUGUAAAUGUAAUUUCUAAAUUGAGGCAAUUUUCAGAUAAUGCAUAUCUAAAACUGGAGAAGAUGUUACAUUUGUUAAUCACUAAUAUGUAAAUCCCAACAUGUCUAUCGAGUAAAUUGAUAUAUAAACUAA